UUUAUUCUUAUUUAUUUAUAUUUACGCAUUUCAAAUAUUCUAUUUUCUAUUUUACUUAUGUUCACUUAAAAAUUAAAAAUCUCUUUUUAAAUACAUAUAAUAAGUCCUUUAAUAAAGAUGGAAAGAUAACGUUAGGAUAUAAAUAAUAGUUUUAAAGUUCCCCCACCAGUUGUCAAAUAAUUCUUGGAAAUGAGUCUCCGGCAAGCAACAAAAGAAAAAGCAAUCGUAUGUAAUAAUAUUCUAUUAUAGGUAUAUCUAUAUAUGUGUGUAUUUGUGUACGCUGUGUAUACGCUGUACUGACUCUCUAGGAUAUAUCAACAAAAUGUAAACAAUCAAGGAACGAUCUAGAGGACGAUCUUUUCCUGACUCAUUUCUACAGUUUUCGUUCGUAUAAGCAACCUUCCAGACGUGUUCGAACCUGUUCCUGCUUCUUCAAUUUCAGUAAGUCUAAUUUUUCAUUUGUAUUACAUAUAAUAUUUUACAAACUUGAUUUAAUCAUUUAUAACUUAUUAUUCCUAUUUUAUAUCAUCAGAUUUCGAUAUACGAUAUAGCAUUUAUAUGUUGAGUACAAUAAAGAAAUCACAUUUACACGUUUGAUAGCAGUUAUCAUAUACUUCCUGCUGCUCUCCGUAUAUAGGUAUAUACAAAUAAGUUCAUCGUUAAGAAAUUUUUAUUUAAUUUCAAUUACUAUAAAAAAUUAGAUCUUAAUUCUUACGAACUAUCUAUCGCGUUAUACGACUUCAUGUGUUCUAUCGUAGUCUUAUUGUAAGUUUCUAUGCUCUAUUAUAUCCAGAACUUUUAUUAUAUAAUAUUUUAUAUUCUUUUAAAGAAAUUUAUAUAUGGAUCCCCAUACGCAGCUACCUCCUUGUGGUGGGAUCCGGAAAUCGGUAUUGCGAACGUUCGUAUAUUUUAUAUUAUACAACGUACGCACUACCGGGCCAAAGGCUGACGUUCGGUGUAUUAGGAAAUAAUUUUGAUUAAAUAUUAAUUUAUUAAAAAUUUGUUGAAACGUAUUUUACAUUGAAUUUAAAGAAUAUUAAGAAGCACCGAGAAUAAUGAAAAUGUAAUUAAAGUAUAAUAAAAGUUAAAUUAAAAUAGAAUAAAAUUUCAAGAUGCGUUUAAUCGUUUAAUUAAUAUUAUAAAUAUUAUAUUUUCAAUUUUACUGCUCCUUGUCUAGUUUUACUUUAAUGCUAUAUCUAUUUUGAUUUAUAGGUAUCCACGCAAUUAGUAUACUUCUGUGAACAUAUCCCUAUCGCGAUUAUAUCUAUUUUUAAACGAUAGAUACAACGCGAUUUUGAUCGUUUGCUUUUACAUAUUCAUUUAUUUUAAUAUAGCUUUCUAGUUUUGCAUCCUUUGAAUAGUAUUUUUUUUUCUUUUUUUUAUUAUUAUUAUAGCAUAUAAAAGAUGUAAUAUAAGUUCAUAAUUUUAGAUCAUAUAAUUUGAAUAUGAUAUAUGAUAUUUAUUAUUUGAUAUUUAAUUUAAUAUUAUUUUAAUAUUUAUUUUAAUAUUCAAUAUAUAAUAUAUAACUUUAAUUGAUAUAAAUUUUGAUAUAAAUUGUAGAAGUAAACGCCACAGCUUGCUUUAACAAUUUUUAUUCAACAGGUCUUCAGUUGUAGAUCGCGCGCAAUGCGAUCAUAGAGUCAGUGCUUGUGCGAAAAAGUUUUUGAUUUUUGCAACCGAAUGGGUUGCUUUAAUAACAAUUAAUUAAAAUCGCGAAUUAGAGUCAGUGUUGUUCGCCGAUUAGAAUUUCUCGGUCGCGUUAAUAGAUCAGAAAACAAGAAUUUAUGUUAUAUUCUUGUUAAAACUAUUUGUUCGCCGCGUUGUUGGAAUCAUAACACACUAUCGGCCAAUUCGGUGGAAGAGGAUUGCGUUGCGAAAAAUAUUGUACUGGUCGAUAGUGUGAAUUUAAAAAUGCAUCCUCUUCAUCUUUACCGACGAAUGUAAGGCUUCGUCAGGAUACAAUCACAUAUUCAUCGAUUCAUCGAUUCAUCGAUUCAACGAGUCAUCGAGUCAUCCAUUCAACGAUUCAACGAUGCAAUAAUAAUUUCAACCAACUUCACGACAUCAUUCAACCUCCUACGAGGGGGACGGGUGUUUUGGAGCCAUCGCAGAACUUCUUAAGUAGUAAGUGAAAAAAUUUAAAGUUCCUCUGGUGCCCAUCAUGCCGAGGAUGAAAGGUCCUUAUCGGCACGGGUUACUGGUUGUAUUCGCAGACGUCCCAUGUCCGAAACGAGCAAAAGUGUCCGUGAUUAAAAUCUUUGAUUUUAUUCACGAGUGGUCCCUAUACGUUUAGUUAGAUAUUUUCUUGUGCAUAUUUUAUUAUUAUUAUAUAUAUAUAUAUAUAGCUCAGGCCAGGGUCUUCUUGUUUCAAAGUCGUUUCAUUCACAGUGCUGUUUAUUAGCACUUUUUUCUCUUCGUUUUUGCUCGCGAUAUUAGUAAUGAAAUCGGGCAUUGAUUUACCCGAUUUCGUAUAAAGCAUAUAACGUGGUUUACGUUACAUGCAUUGCUUCGUACUCAGUUCAUUUAAUCGCGAUUUACUUCGAUAUUUUAAAAUAUCGAUUUACCCAUAAAUGAGCAAGAAGACAAACCCCUUCCGCGACGGAUAGAUUCUGGUAGUUAAGUGGUGGAUUAUAAUCCCGUUCUUUCACUAGAACAGCCAUUUAAUGAAAGGAGUCGUCCGAGGUUUUUUUUAUUAAAAUUAUAUAUUUCUUAAUAAUGAAAUUUCAUAACUGCAUAAUGCGUAUGCAUAUAUAUGAGCUAUGUGCAUACUUCAUCCCUCCAUGUCAACGACUGCCUACCGCGGGUCGCUCAAAGGCCCUUAAGCGGUGUAUACAGGUGGGGUUGCAAAACUAUUUUUGCCACUUAUUAUUUUUUUACCACUUUUAGUGGUAAAACCCAUAUGUGGUGGUCACACUCAUAUGUGGUGACCGCCUACCAUCAUCCAUCCUUGUUUGAGCUCUUGCUAAUAAGACGUGCAAAGAGACUCUAGAGUCACAGUCCGCUUAAAUUUUAUAUAUAUAUAUUUUUAUAUAUUUUUUUAUAUAUUUUUUUAUAUAUAUUAUAAAUUAAUCAUUUUUUAGCUCAGGAUUUUCAGCACUAAUAUACUAAUACCCCUUUCUCCCCCAUGCUUUCUGCGUUCUCAUCCAUGCGUUUAACCCAGGUGUUACUCGUGUGGGUGAGAAACAGUCAGUGUGGAUUUAGUUUUAAGUUUCCUUUUCAGCGACUGUCAUUGUGCUGGUGAUUGCACGGUGUACUUUGCACUUGUAUGUGCGUUUUAGGAAGUGCAUUGUACAUCGUUUCGCGAUAACUUUUAAAUAGAUAUCUGAUAUAUCUAAUAUAUAACUAUAUUAGUAUCGGUUUGCAUAAUAGUUACCACAUUUUUGUGGAAAAUUCUAAAUACUCGUAUAUAUUACUAGUAUCUAUAUAUAUACUAGUAUGUACUAGUAUUUUUGCUUUAGUCUUAUAUGCAAUAAUCAUUAGCCUUGGCAGUCGAUUUCAGCAACUGGUACGUACUCCCAAAAUAUAUUAGAAAAACUACGCGGUUGAACUAGGGUGUCGGAGGUGCCCCGGGGCAUGCUCUCUAGUGUAGGCUUUUGCACCCUGGUGGAGUGUGAGAGAACCGUGGAGUGUAUGUGUUGGUGUGAAUGUUUGCACUUUUUAAAUAUAGGUCAUAGGCAGGCAGGUAGCAUACUUUUCUGAGUGAAUGUGUCAAUUAAUUUUAAGUAGGUAGGGACCGGGUAAGGAUGCGAUUCCCACUCAGAAGUGGGAAGUCCUUUCUCCGGGGAUUUGUGAAGUUUCAGCAAAUUUUACGAUCUUUCAGCAAGGCUGAAUUUUUUUGUCUUUUUAUCUUUUUUUUAUUUUUUUUUCUUACAUUUUUUGCUGACACUUUGCAUCGCGCGAUAUAUCAGUAUCAAACAGUUCGAAAAACUUUGCACCCAAUGAGAACAUCAGAUACAUCCCAUAUCUUUUGAACUUAGCAAAGGAUUUUGAAUUUGUUCGGUACUUAGUUUUAAAUUAACUCUUGCACUUCGCGAUUCUUAAAAUAUUUACUAUCUAUAUAUUUCUUAUUUAGAAGUAGAAUAUACCUGCAUAAGUAAAGUGGAAGUAUUACAUUUCUUGUGAUCUUGACAUUUUACCGCAACUAUAUCCAUCUUCUAAGUGCAACGAGUUAAUGUUAGUACGUAAUAGGUUCAUCGAAUAGAAUGAAUAUUAUGUCUGCUGGAGCAUUCGAUUAAAUGUGCCUGUGUUAUUGCGUACGGUUGGUGGAUUCUUUGAGUCCAUUGAUUGUCCACAGGCUAGGAUAGCUUUACGGUUUAGUUGAAAUAUUUUUAUACGAAUCUUUUAUUUUUAUUUUUUUUUAAUUAAAUGAAUAGAUAAAUAAAUAAAUAAAGAUCAUUAGAAAAUCGAGACGCACCUAGGCAGAGUAGAAAACGCAGUUGAGAAUACGCGUUGGGACUCGUCAGUGCCGUUUGGGGUGAUUCAUUCGCGAAUUUUGCCAUACUGCAGUGGUUAUACUAUUUAGAAGAAAUCGAUACUUUACGUCGCAAGCGCUUACCGCUCGUUAGGUUAAGGAAAAAAAAAAAAAAAGAAAAAACCAGAACAAACCUGCGUGCGAAAAUGUGUUUUCACUUCCCAACCCUUUAGCUUGCGAUCAUUGCGUCUCGUUCGAUGCGUGCGUUUACACGAGUGGUUUGAGUCUUGUUGCAUAAAGUGAGAUCAGGUCGGGAUCAGGUCGGUUUAGCUUAGGGACGAUUUCAUUCUUGUAGUAGCAAUCACUGCAGUAUGUCAAUCUUUGUGGGUGCGUUGCUUCGAACGGUAGGGCGUUUUUUGAUGCGUAAACUUAUCUUGCGUCGCACGUAAGGAAUGCUCCAAUGCAGUGGUUAGGGCACGAAGCAAGAAGUGGCUGUAUGCUGAAGAGGCCCCCACAUUAUGUGGCUCAAGAGGGCAACUAUCGACUACAAGUCAUUUUUCAAAGGUGGUCGGUAUGUCGAACCCUUCGUUAAUGGCUUGUGGUCAUAUCAAAAUCCCUUUUACCCUUUACCACGUUGACACUUAUGCUCGUAGUAGUUUGUUCCUGGAUGGAGAUGAUGGACCAUUCCAUCUCCUUGCUAUGGCGUUCCGCACCAUUCCGCGUUCGUGAAAAAUUAAGAUUUUUGCGAUUAGAGUCAUGCAAGUUAGUUAUUAAUUAUUAGAGUCAUUGCAAUUUUUUCUUAAAGUAAAGUAGAAUCAUUGUAAUUUUUAAAAGUAGAGUCAGUUUUUCAUUUAAGAGUAGAAUCAAGCCCUUUGCAUUUUCUACUUUUAUUUUUAUUUUUUUUUUCUGAUUAAAGUCAAGCCCUCCUUCUUUUCAUUUUAAAUUAAAGUCGAGUCAUUACAUUUGCUUCUUUAAAUUAAAGUCGAGUCCUUGUAUUUUUUCCUUUUAAAUUAAAGUCGAGUCCUUGCAUUUUAAAGUUUUAAAGUAGAGUCUUUUCUUGAAGUAGAUUUUUAGUUAGAAAGAUAGAGUCACGCUCGUUAAAUAUUGUGUGGACGUCCGUGGCCUGCAGCAGCAUUGCACUCAGGAGUGCAUUUGGAUACCCAAGCAUGUUGAUUUUUAAUUCAGAAUAAUCAUAUUUUAAUCAUAUUUUUCAUGUUCAUAAUUUCAUAAUGUGUAUGUAUAUAUACGAGAUAUAUGCAUAUUUCAAUGUCAACACAGCUUUACCACGAGUUGUAAAAUGACUCUUAUGUGGUAAUCAUUAUCGUUAUCAUCCAUAUCCUCACCCUCAUUAACUUUUUGCAAUCUGAUUCUGAUUAUUCUGAUUAAUCUGAUUAAUCUGAUUAUUCUGAUUAUUCUGUUUAUUUUGGUUAUUCUGAUUAAAAAUCUACAAGACUUGAUGAUGAAUUGGAAUGCCUGCAUUCAGGAAUGCAGAUGAAUAUAUAAAAUGGCAGCCAGCACUCAGGAGUGCAUAUUAAAAUAUGUCAAGGGUAUACAUUUUUAUUCCAAAAUUAUCAACAAGUGAGGACGAAAUGACAGAAUUAAUAAGUAUAUAUAUAUGAGAGAGAGAGAGAGAGAGAGAGAGAGAGAGAGAGAGAGAGAGAGAGAGAGAGAGAGAGAGAGAGAGAGAGAGAGAGAGAGAGAGAGAGAGGUAGAGAGAAUAGUAAGAAGAUAUAAUAAAUGAUACAAAGAUUAUUAAUAAAUGUUUAUACAUAUUUGAGAGAAAUAUGAUUAUAUUUUGGAAUAAAAAUGCAUUAGUCUUGGUAUAUAAGUGAAAUGAUUGAAAUGGCUUGCCUGCACUCAGGAGUGCAUAUGAAAGGUUCAAAGUAAGUACAUGAUUGCAUUCAGGAAUGCACAUGAAUAAAUUAUAGUAAGGAUGUACAUUUCACAUUCGCAAUGAUCAAAGAUGAAUGAAUAAAUGCACUAAUAAGAUAACUAAAUGAAGAAAUAUAUAAGUACGUCGAUCUCUGGUGAUAUUUUUUUUAAUAUAUUAAACUUGUCUAAUAAUAAAUGAAAUUCACUUUAUUCGAUAUGUAAUAAUUAAAUGAUAUUUAAAUGGUGCAAAUGAAUUAGAAGAAAAUUUGAAUCAUGCGGAUAAGAAAUGUAUAAGUCCUACUAGAUGAAUGAAGUGACAUAAUGGCAGCCAGCACUCAGGAGUGCAUAUUAAAAUAUGUCAAGGGUAUACAUUUUUAUUCCAAAAUUAUAUACAAAUGAAUAUGAAAUGAGAGAGAGAGAAAGAGAGAGGUGUGAAAGAGAAGAGGGAGUAUUUUUAUCAUCUAUACAAAAAUUUCGUAAGAAAUAUUGAAAAGAUAUGUUUAUAUGUUUCUGAAAGAAAUAUAAUUAUUUUUUGGAAUAAAAAUGGAUUAGUCUUGGUAUAUAAAUGAAACGAUAGAAAUGGCUUGCCUGCACUCAGGAGUGCAUAUGAAAGAGUCACAGUAAGUACACGAUUGCAUUCAGAAAUGCAAAUGAACAAAUUAUAGUAAGGAUAUACAUUUCACAUUCGGAAUGAUCAAAGAUGAAUGAAUGAAUGCACUAAUAAGAUUACUUAAUGAAGAAAUAUAUAAAUACAUUGAUCUCUGGUAAUAUUUUUUUUUUAAUAUAUUAAACUUGUUUAAUAAUAAAUGAAAUUCAUUUUAUUCCAUGUAUAAUAAUUAAAUGAUGUUUAAAUGGUGCAAAUGAAUUAAAAGAAAAUUUGAAUCAUGCGGAUAAGAAAUGUAUAAGUCUUACUAGAUGAAUGAAGCGACAUAAUGGCAGCCAGCACUCAGGAGUGCAUAUUAAAAUAUGUCAAGGGUAUACAUUUUUAUUCCAAAAUUAUGUAGAAGUGAAUAUGAAAUGAGAGAAUUAAUAAGGAUAUACAUAUAUGAGAGAGUGAGAGAGGAGUACGAAAGAAGAGGGAGUAUUUUUAUUAUAUAUACGAAAGUUUCAUAAGAAAUAUUAAAAUGAUAUGAUCAUUUAUCUCUGAGAGAAAUAUGAUUAUUUUUUGGAAUAAAAAUGCAUAAGUCUUGGUAUAUAAAUGAAGCGAUUGAAAUGGCUUGCCUGCACUCAGGAGUGCAUAUAGAAUAAGUUUGCAGUAAGUACAUACCUGCAUUCAGGAAUGCAGAUGAACAUAUUAUAGUAAGGAUAUGUAUUUCUCAUUCAGAAUGAUCAAAAAUACAUGAAUGAAAAUGCACAUAUGAAAGUAUUAUAUAAUAAGUAUUUAAAGUAUUCCUAUCUGAAAGUAUUUCUUUAAUAAUAAAUCAAGAAUAUUUUAUGCUCUUCCUAAUAUAAUAACUUAUUUAUAUUUAAGUAGUGCGCAAAUGAACAAAAAGAAAUUUUGAAUCGUUCUGAUUAGAAAUGUAUAAGUCUUGCUAAGCGAGCGAUAUGAUACGAAAAUAACAGCCUAGCACUCAGGAGUGCAUAAAAUAUGUCAAGGGUAUACAUUCUUAUUCCAAAAUUAUCAACAUAUCAAUAUGAAAUGACAGAAUUAAUAAAUAUAUACAUGAGAGAGAGGGAGAGAAAGAGGGAGUACUUUUAUUAUAUAUAUGAAAGUUUCAUAAGAAAUAUGAAGACGGUAUGAUGAAUGAUAUAAAGAUUAUUAGCAAAUAUUUAUACAUAUUGGAAAGAAAUAUGAUUAUUUUUUGGAAUAAAAGUGCGUAAGUCUUGGUAUAUAAAUGAAGCGAAUGAAAAGGCUGUCCCACACUCAGGAGUGUGAGCGAAAAUAGUUCAGGGACAGGUUUGCAUUCAGGAAUGCACCUGGGAUACUCAAGCAUGUAGAUUUUCAUUUCAGGAUAAUUUAAAAUUUUUUAUAUGAUUAUUAGUAAAUCAAUAAUUUUUUCUUUAUCUUUUUUAUUUACAUUCGUUUUUGAUGAUUAUAUACUUAUAUACAUAUACUUUAUCCAAUGCCAAUAUAGUUUUAUCACAAGUUGUAGGAUGGCUCAUUUAUUGUAAGAGUCAUUUUAUGACUUGUAUGAAUAUAAUCAUCAUCUUAUAUAGAUUCUAAUUAUUCUGAUUAAAAAUCUACAAGACUUGAUGUAGUUAGGGAUCUUAGGAUCUGUUAAGGCAAGCAGUGACGAUAAAAUAAAUUAACAAGAAUAAUAUGCAACAAUGUAUUAAAACUAUAUUUUGUCUUUAAUAUGUGUUAUAUUUUCAUAUAUAAAUUUUAUAUAUAAUCUUAUCUUUUUCUUUCAGAUUUAAUAUUUCAUUACUAUUUUAUAUAUAAUAUACAAACUACAUGAUUUGAAAAUUGUGAAAUUAUAUUACUGUAUUUUUUAUAAUUUAAUAGAUAAAAGUGUCGUACAUAUAAACGAUGUAAUAUGUGCACCAGACACUUCGCAUUAAUAUAAACGUGAUAAUGUAAGAUAUAUGUAAUCUAUCGAUUAAAUAUAGAUCUGAUCUCGUUAUGGAUAUGUUUAUGGCGGUAUACAAAAUUGUGUAUGCAUUUUAUAAUACGACACAAGGUGCAGUAUA